rnacentral:rRNA from 1 species
UACGUAGGGUGCAAGCGUUGUCCGGAAUUAUUGGGCGUAAAGAGUUCGUAGGCGGUUUGUCGCGUCUGCUGUGAAAACUCGGGGCUUAACCCCGGGCCUGCAGUGGGUACGGGCAGACUAGAGUGCGGUAGGGGAGACUGGAAUUCCUGGUGUAGCGGUGAAAUGCGCAGAUAUCAGGAGGAACACCGGUGGCGAAGGCGGGUCUCUGGGCCGUAACUGACGCUGAGGAGCGAAAGCGUGGGGAGCGAACAGG